GCCUGGCCCCGCCACCGCCCGCCUCGGCACAACAUGGCGAUGCACAACAAGGCGGCGCCGCCGCAGAUCCCGGACACCCGGCGGGAGCUGGCGGAGCUCGUGAAGCGGAAGCAGGAGCUGGCGGAAACACUGGCAAACUUGGAGAGACAGAUCUAUGCUUUUGAAGGAAGCUACCUGGAAGACACUCAGAUGUAUGGCAACAUUAUUCGCGGCUGGGAUCGGUAUCUGACCAACCAAAAAAACUCCAAUAGCAAAAACGAUAGAAGGAACCGGAAGUUUAAGGAAGCAGAGCGGCUCUUCAGUAAAUCCUCAGUUACUUCAGCAGCUGCAGUAAGUGCAUUGGCAGGAGUUCAGGACCAGCUCAUUGAAAAGAGGGAGCCAGGAAGUGGGACGGAAAGUGAUACUUCUCCAGACUUCCACAAUCAGGAAAAUGAGCCCAGCCAGGAGGAUCCUGAGGAUCUGGAUGGAUCUGUGCAGGGAGUGAAACCUCAGAAGGCUGCUUCUUCUACUUCCUCAGGGAGUCAUCAUAGCAGCCAUAAAAAACGAAAGAAUAAAAACCGGCACAGGUAUGUAUAUUAGGUUAGGCUGGGAAGUUUUUUUUAAAAACAGAAAAACGUGAUGGAGGAUUGAUCUGAAGUUAAACAAAAAACCACGAGCUGAUUAUUAGAAGACUCAUUAGUGCAGAAGCGUCCAGGCUAUAGAGCCCUGCUUCCCUCCUCCGACCUCACAAAGAUAAACACCCCUCACCUGGCUGCGUGGCCAUCCAUCUCUGCUUUCCCAGACCUGGUGCCUGUGACUCUGAGUAGUUUGUUCUGAAAUGUGGUGACAAGCAAGUCAUUUCUGUAAGACCAUAUUGGAGCAUUUAUUCUGUGUCAUUUUCAGUAACAAUUGCAGGACGACCCAAGACAUUGUUUUAAUCCCAGCAAGUUGCUAACUGUGCAUUUCUCCGUUCUUGGAACCAAUGUCUCCCCCGUCAAACUGGCUGGCACCAGCUUCAUCUGUGAUGCGCAUCGAGAAAUGUCCUCUAGGUUUGUUUUAUGCUGAACGUAGAACAAGUCACAUUUCAGAGGGAGGCUGUAAAUAUCUGGCGUUUUCUUAUUUUGUUUGUGUUUUAUCGUUUUUCUAUGAUUGUUUUUACCAUCUUAUUUGCUUUGGGGACUUUUUGUAAUGCCAUUAUACAGCUCAUACCUUCCUGCUGACGUAUCUGAUCAUCUCUUUCGUGCAGUUGCCAAUAUUCUAAACUGAAAGUAAUUUGGUUUACCAUAAAUAAAAUGGGGACUGGGCUUUUUGUUUCUUUGCAGAGGGAAGGUAAAGAAUGUUUAUUUAAUAAUUACCUAUCUUAAAUCUUUUUGAGUUGGAAGCAGUUUCAUGUUCAAGGAACAGGAAAAACUGAAACACAUGAGUUUAAAUGAGUCCUUUUAAAAUAGGUAUUUUUAUUCUUUUGUAUAAAUAAAAUUUCACAGGCUUUGACUUCUCAUCCUUCACCUUUAAACUUGAGAUUGUUUUUCCACUUACUUAUUCGUAUCAUGCCUUACGGAAAUUUCUUUCUCCAUCUUUUCUCUCUCUUUGAUGGUAUUUGCCUGAUUAAAUAUUGCUCUAAAAAUGACUAAGGCAAAUGGAAAGGCUCUAAACUGUACCCAAAGCUGAUAACGCCUGGAGUCCUUGAGCAAAGUGAAUGACAGGAUCACCGAGAGGCCGCGAUGCCCAGCAAACGCCCCUUCCUUUCAGGGUGGAUGGGCUGAGGAGUCUGUUGAUGGUUGUUACCUGCCUCUGGAGCAGCGGCCAUCCACCUCGGCUGCACAUUGGAAUCACCUGGGAUGCUUAAAAAAAUACCAGUGCCUGGGUCGCACUCCCCAAGACCCUGACUCGGCUACAGCCUAGUAUUGGGGAUAUUCGUUCAAAGAGUCCCUGGCGUUCUGACAGGAAACCAAGUGGAGAACCACUGCAUUAGGAGACUGGAUUGUUCGAUUUCAAUCCCAUGUCAUGAAUCAGUCUAAGGGAUAAGCUGUGGGGCCUCACCUUUCCUUUGACUCUGUUUAGUCAUAAAUACUUAUCUCCAUAUCUUUGUUAGAAAAACUAUGUUCCAUUUGUGGCAAUGUUGGUAGAGCUGAAAUACGGAUGGCGUCUAUUAUCAAAACACGUCUACCUUGUCAGAUGUGCAAAAGCUUCCUCUUGUUCUCAAAUAAACUUUUUUUUUUUUUUU